AGCCGGCAACCGGAGGAGGAGGCGGGAAUCAAGCCCAGGUGUGUCUGGUGCCAGAGCCCAGAGGCUUCCCAGAUCCGCACACUUCAUGCUCACCCAUCUGCCAGCCACACAGAGGUCCUGGAUGUCUGGUGGGCAAUGAGCAAGUGACAGAGAGUCCGGGCAAUGAGGUUGCUCAGGCUGAUGUGACAGCAGUGAGAAGAGGCGUCUCAUCUCAUCCCUAACCAGAUGGGGUUAGGGAUGGUGUCCUAGAGCAGCCAACCGGAGAGAGUGACAUCACUGAUAAGGAGGCAGAUUCACACACCCUCAUCUUUGUCAGUGCACAAAAUGGCGCCCUACGGCCUACUGGUGACCCGACUGCAGAAAGCUCUGGGUGUGCGGCCUCAGUCCUGUGCCUCAGUCCUGUGCCAACGGGCCAAGAUGGCGACGAGCUACUUUGAGGCCAACGAGUACAUCCACUAUGACCUGCUAGAGAAGAACAUUAACAUUGUUCGCAAACGACUGAACCGGCCUCUGAUCCUCUUGGAGAAGAUUGUGUAUGGACACCUGGAUGACCUGGCCAGCCAGGAAAUUGAGCAGGGCAAGACAUACCUGUGGCUGUGGCUGGACCGCGUGGCCAUGCUGCAGUUCAUCAGCAGUGGACUGCCCAAGGUGACCAUGCCAUCCACCAUCCAGUGACCAUCUGAUAGAGGCCCAGCUUGGGGACGAGAAAGACCUGUGCCAGGCCAAGGACAUCAACCAGGAAGUUUAUAAUUUCCUGGCAACUGCCUGUGUCAAAUAUGGUGUGGACUUCUGGAGCCUUGGAUCUGGAAUCAUUCACUAGAUUAUUCUGGAAAACUAUGCAUACCUUAGGGUUCUUCUGAUUGGCACUGACUCUCACAUCCCCAAUGAUGGCAGCCUGGGGGGCAUCUGCAUUGGAGUUGGGGGUGCUGACGCUGUGGAGAUCAUGGCUGGGAUCCCCUGGGAGCUGAAGUGCCCCAAGGUGAUUGGCAUGAAGCUAACGGGCUCCCUCUCCAGUUGGACCUCACCCAAAGAUGUGAUCCUGAAGGUGGCAGGCACCUUUCAUGGUGAAAGGUGGCACAGGUGCAAUCAUGGAAUACCACAGGCCUGGCGUAGACUCCGUCUCCUGUGCUGGCGUGGUGACAAUCUGCAACAUAGGUGCAGAAAUUGGGGCCACCACUUCCGUGUUCCCUUACAACCACAGGAUGAAGAAGUACCUAAGCAAGACCGGCCGGGCAGACAUUGCCAAUCUAGCUGAUGACUCCAAGGAUCACUGGGCGCCUGACCCUGGCUGCCAUUAUGACCAACUAAUUGAAAUUAACCUCAGUGAGCUGAAGCCACACAUCCAUGGGCCUUUCACCCCUGACCAGACUUGCCCUGUGGCUGAAGUGGGCAAGGUGGCAGAGAAGGAAGAAUGGCCUCUGGACCUCCAAGUGGGUCUGAUUGGUAGCUGCAACAAUUCAAGCUAUGAAGAUCUGGAGCGCUCAGCAGCUGUGGCCAAGCAGGCACUGGCGCAUGACCUCAAGUGCAAGUCCCAGUUCACUGUCGUCCCGGCCAAUGCUUGUGGCCCCUGCAUUGACCGCUGGGACAGGAAGGACGUCCAGAAGGGGAAGAAGAACACAAUCGUCACCUCCUACAACAGGAACUUCAUGGGCCACUGUGACACGAACCCCGAGACCCAUGCCUUUGUCACGUCCCCAGAGAUUGUCACAGUCCUGGCCAUUGCGGGAACCCUCAAGUUCAACCCAGUGACUGACUACCUGCUGGGCAAGGAUGGGAAGAAGUUCAAGCUGGAGGCUCCGGAUGCAGAUGAGCUUCCCCAAGCGGAGUUUGACCCCAGGCAGGACACCUACCAGCACCCCCACAAGGACAGCAGCGGACAGCACGUGGAUGUGAGCCCCACCAGUCAGCGCCUGCAGCUUCUGGAGCCUUUUGACAGGUGGGAUGGCAAGGACCUGGAGGACCUGCAGAUCCUCAUCAAGGUCAAAGGGAAGUGUACUACUGACCACAUGUCGCCUGCUGGCCCCGGUUCAAGUUUUGUGGGCACUUGGACAACAUCUCCAACAACCUGCUUGUUGGUGCCGUCAACACUGAAAACAGCCAGGCCAACUCCAUGUGCAGUGCCGUCACCCAGGAGUUUGGUCCCGUCCCUGACACUGCCCGCUACUGCAAGAAACAUGGCAUCGGGUGAGUGGUGAUCAGGGACAAGAACUAUGGCGAGGGCCCGAACCGGGAGCAUGCAUGCAGCGCUAGAGCUUCACCACCUCUGGGGCCAGGCCAUCAUCACCAAGAGCUUUGCCAGGAUCCACGAGAACAACCUGAAGAAGCAGGGGCAGCUGCCCCUGACCUUCGCUGACCCAGCCGACUAAACAAGGUUCACCCUGUGGACAAGCUGACCAUUCAGGGCCUGAAGGACUUCGCCCCUGGCAAGCCCCUGAAGUGCGUUAUCAAGCACCCUGAUGGGACCCAGGAGACCAUCCUCCUGAACCACACCUUCGACGAGAUGCAGAUCAAGUGGUUCCAUGCCGGCAGUGCCCUCAACAGAAUGAAGGAGCUGCAGCAGUGAGGACGGCGCCUCCCACCACACCCGCAGCCCCACCCCCCAGCGCUAGCGUCUUGUUCAAGUUCAGUUCCAUGUGCGCCAUCAGCCAAUCCAAUCCAUCCAGCCAUGGGCUCUGAUUCCAAGGCGGUGUGACCAGACAUGCUUCCUGCUCCCCCGCUCAGCCCGCAGAGUGACUGUGGUUGGGGGGUUCUUAAAAUAACUUUUUAGCCCCUGUCUUCCUAUUUUUAGUGUUUGGUUCAGAUCUUAAGCAGCUUCAUGCAACUGUAUUUAUUUUUAUUGACAAGACUCCCAUCUAAAGUGUUUCUCCUGCCUGAUCAUUUCGUUGGUGGCUGAAGGAUUCUAGAGAACCUUUUGUUCUUGCAAGGAAAACAAGAAUCCAAAAAAAAAAAAAAAAAAAA